rnacentral:lncRNA from 1 species
UCAAUACUAUCCAUCUCCCUCUCCCUCGUCCGCCGCCACCACCGGCAACCUCGGUGCCCCUCUCCCUAACAGCCACCGCCCCCACCUCUCCCCCAUCCCCCGCUCUCACCUUCUCUCCUUAAACUAGGCGGCCCCCAGAACGAGCAGGCCGAGGCGCUUCCCGAUUUGCGGCGCUGCUUCCGGAUCCGCCAAGCAGCGCCAGAGGUCGGCUCCUUCUUCGCGUUGUUCUGCGCCAAGAUUGGCCUCCCCUUCCUUUUCCGCGUGGUCCAUGGCGCUAACCCCGGAUGGUACCGCCUCUCCGGUUCCCAAUCCCACCCCUAAAUCGAUGGAUGGAUCUCCAUGGCUGAUGUGUUUUCCUACUACUUUGGUUGGUCGUAGGUGAGGCACUCAAUACCAUGGCCGGAUGGAGGUUGGGCGAUUUCCUUCCCUGACCUCGCGGCCUAGCCACUCCACCGCGAGCUUCUCGCCCCCAGGUUGUUAUUCCCCUGCUCGCUCCUUCCCUCUUCCUCUCUAUGGAUUGGUUGCUGCUGCAUGCUUGCUGCUCAAGUACCAGUCAUCUCUUGCGUUGGUGCUUCUGCUGUGUGGAUUUGUUGAUAUUAUUGAUAUUGCUUAGCUAGUGUGGAUGACUGGAUGUGGGUGCGUGACUGUGCUCAACAUAUUAGAAUAUUUUUCAAAUAAAAAUAACAAUUAGUGCUCAAGUAAUAAUUUAUGGGUUGAGUUCUGCGCAUAGUUAAAUGUAGUAGCAGCAUACAGUUUUCACUGUGCACACUGCCGAGCAUGCAUUUUUGUAUGUAGAAAUCUCAAAUCUUUGUAACACAACACUUGCUGGCAUUGGGUAAAUGACUUGCCUUCCAUUAACUACAGUCUUGCAUUUUUAUAAAAAGAAAAAAGAUUAUCUCUUGCAUGCAAGUGUACUCUGUGAGAUAGUAAUACAUUCACGUGUAUGUGUAGUUCAUUGGGCCUGUAGCUCACUAGUUUGUGUUUCCGCUGUAAUGUUUACCUCUGCUAUCAUGAUGAUACUUCUCGUUCUAAGAAUUAGUAUUUUAAAAUUUUAGUGUCCACCUAACAUCAGUACCUUGGAAUAUACUGCCUGUUGGAAGGAUCAUUUUAUAUCCUGAACAUUUGCUAUUGCAGCUGCUCUUUUGCUACAUAGCUACAUAAUAUCAAAUUUGACUUGAACUUUAUAUGUUUAUAUUACAUGGCAAGUUGAUUGUGUAGCCUAUGUACAGAAGCUCAGGUGUAGAUAAGUUCAGAAAGAUGUCUCAUUUGGCAAGAGUGUGAUGAAGUAAUGUGGAAUUGCUCUGAACCUUUAAUACAUUUAUGUGUGGAAUCUGUUAUUAAUUUGUACAACAUCAACACUAACACUUUAAUGGUAUCGAUUCAGUAUCUUAACUACUGGGCCACCAGUCAGCCAUUAAUCUGUGUCCGUACAACAUCAACAGUGAAACUUUUAUAUUAUUGAUUCAAUAUAUCUACAACAUCAGUACUGCCGAGCAUGUAUAUUUUUCCUGUAGAAACGACUUCUUCCAAUAACUACAAUCUUGCACUUUUCUAGAAAAAUAAUCUGAUCUCUUGUGUGCACAUGUUCUCUGCGAUACUAAUACAUCCAUGUGUAUGGGUACUACUGGGGCCUGUAGCUCACUAAUUUGUGGUUCCCUGUAAUUAUUUACCCCUGCUAUCAUGCUGGUUUCGGCUUUGUAGUAAGGUCCUCGACAUAUACUUCUUGUUCAAAGAAUUAGCACUUCAAUUUUUUGUUCGCCUACAUAACAUCAAUACCUUGGAAUAUACUUCCUGUUGGAAGGAUUACCAUUUUGUAUUCUGGACAUUUGUCAUUGCAGCUCCUCUUUUGCUAUAUAACAUCAAAUCUGGACUUGAACUUUAAAUGUUUAGAUUAUAUGACAAGUUAAUUGUGCUACUUUUUAUUCGCCGGUGUUAGUUACUAUGAAGUAGCUGACUGGAGCCAACGAUGGAUGCUUAGCCUCUAGUUAUAAGGAUUACCUGCUGCUUUUGCUACCUCUUCUGUUCCCUGAAUGAAUGGUCCUGCUGCUUUCUCGCAUGCGAUUUCUGUUUCUCUUUUUCUUGGACAGCGUUUUUCUCUCUUAGAAUCAUAUUCUGGUCAGGCUACUUGUGCUGUCAAAUUUCAACUAUUUAUUAGGGUUGAUUUCUAUGCCACUAAUGCCUACUGCCUUGUCCACCCAUCCAGCGGCGUACAAGACGCCCUCCUCGAUGCAGCCGUUCCCAACGAGCUCCCUUUGCCGGAAGAGGUGCAGAAGCAAGUCAAGCACCCACUUGGCCCCUGCAUCCUGUCCUACAUUGCCUGCACGAGCUCACUGAUGGCUGCGUCCUCCUUACCUACUAGCGUGGUGAGCCUCUCCCCACUUUACCCCAAAUCUAGAUGAUAUUUGCAAUCUGAAUACAGAUCAUGUUUUGGUUCAGUUUAGAGGCGGAUUCAGUUGCUGAGAUGAAUAUGUGAGCUUGAUUAGUUGCUCAUGGUUUUGUGGAUCUGAUUCUCUUGCACUGUUACACAUAAUUUAAUUAGGGCAAGCUAAUGCUGAUCCACACAAUAUGAUAUAGCUUUUUUCUAACAUGCACUGUUCUUGAUGUUGCUUUCGUAUUGAUAUUUUGGGAGUUAAUUUGCCAGUUCCAGCUUGUUAGAUAUAAAUUUAGCUUCAACUGUGUAUCUUGCUAGAAAGGACUUGUUUUAUAGAUGCAUGUAUGUAGUACUUGAGAGAAAACCUAAAAAACUGUACUUUUAUCAUCAACAUCUUAGAACUGUAAGUGUCUAUUUUGUUUAUAUUGCUAUAUGCUAUUAUUGUUACUUGGAUUUUUAUUUCCUGUCAAGUAACUAUAUUUUUGCUUGAACAGAUGUAGACUUUAAUUAUGCUCUUGUUGUUUUCUUGUUAAUACAAAAGCAACAAGUUCCCUAUUCUAAAAUAGUAUUUAGGAUUCAGAUUGUGUUGGACAUCAAUAAUUCUGUACAUGGUAACUGAACUCCCUUCUGUUCAAUAUCCUAUCCCACACUACAUAUAUGAUACAUCAAUUAUCAAUUAUUUUCAUAACAAUGGUAACCCCUUUUCAUGGUUGAAAUGAACAUUUUCACCAUGGCAGUCUGCUUUCUCUAUCAUAGAUUGGAACUGUGGAUACAUUACGGUAUGAUUGAUUGUUGUCCGAAAAGCUACUAUCCUUUUUGCUGUUGUGGGAAGGUAGGACUAGCUGUGAUAUUAUUAUUCUCCCAUAGCAUAAUAAUCUUAUUAAGAUGAAAUUUUUUGUUCCCUUUUCGUUUUGAUGUUUGCCUUUGUUACCAGAAUUAAAGUAUUGCUUGUGUUAUUUAUUUUUGACAAUGGGUACGGAAGUGCCUCCCUGGACUUACUUUUUAUACUUUUCUUAGUUUCACAUACUUCAUGUUUCACGGCACAUGAGGGGGUUUUCAUUGCAUGAUUCGAGUUUAGUGUAGUGAUAGCUUAGGACUUCUAGUCAAAUAAGCACAGUGGAGUUUACUACCAACUAUUGAUCUAUGUAUGCUCAUCAUUCCUUUUUGUUGCCAUCAGUUGUUUCUUUUCACAUGAAUGAUUUUGUUUCACUACUUUGCAUCAUGGCAGAGAAAAAAUAUAGAACUUGAUAAUGUGUAGUAAGCUGCUUCCAGUUUCUACUUCUAUUUUAACCUACUGACUAAUAUUUUAUAGUGUGACAUAUUUUUCAUCAUGUGGCAGCUAUUGGUUUAUGGGAGCAUUUUCAACAACAAAGACAUGGCGAGCGGAUCCACGGCCAGGAAUGCGGGGUCCCCUGGUUGUCCAACGAGCAUUGUGCUUUGCUUGAUGGGUGUGGUGCUAGCUGUAGAGUAGCAUAGUGUUCUCCGAGACAUGCUUGUAGAAUUAAUUUUUUUUGGGUUCUUUUUUUUGCUCAUGUACAGGUGUAUUUUUGGGUGUGUUUAUGUAAUUUUUUGUUUUAAGGACUUGAACAUAUAUUUUCUGUUAAAUUAUUAUGGGCUUAAAAUUUCCAUGGACAAGAGAUACGCGUGAUGAGCUAAUGUCCUGGACUGAGAAAUUAGUGGGCCUUUCUUGAAAUUAAUGGGCCUAAAUUCAAAUUGGCUUGAUUACUAUAUGGGCCACCACUCUUGGGGAGU